rnacentral:rRNA from 1 species
CUACGGGCCGCAGCAGUGAGGAAUAUUGCACAAUGGAGGAAACUCUGAUGCAGCAACGCCGCGUGGAGGAUGACGCAUUUCGGUGUGUAAACUCCUUUUAUAUGUCAAGAAAAUGACGGUAGCAUAUGAAUAAGCUCCGGCUAACUCCGUGCCAGCAGCCGCGGUAAUACGGAGGGAGCAAGCGUUACUCGGAAUCACUGGGCGUAAAGGACGCGUAGGCGGGAUAGAAAGUCAGGUGUGAAAUCCUAUGGCUCAACCAUAGAACUGCACUUGAAACUUCUAACCUAGAGUAUGGGAGGGGAAGAUGGAAUUAGUGGUGUAGGGGUAAAAUCCGUAGAUAUCACUAGGAAUACCAAAAGCGAAGGCGAUCUUCUGGAACAAUACUGACGCUAAGGCGUGAAAGCGUGGGGAGCAAACAGGAUUAGAUACCCGCGUAGGC